rnacentral:rRNA from 1 species
GACGAACGCUGGCGGCGUGCUUAACACAUGCAAGUCGAACGGUGAAGCGCCUUCCUUUUUGGUGGGUGUGGAUGAGUGGCGAACGGGUGAGUAACACGUGAGUAACCUUCCCCCUUCUUCUGGAUAACCGCAUGAAAGAGUGGCUACUACGGGAUAUUCUGGGUCUGUCGCAUGAUGGGUCUGGGACGGAUAUUGUUUCGGUGGGGGAUGGGCUCGCGGCCUAUUAGCUUGUUGGUGGGGUGAUGGCCUACCAAGGCGGUGACGGGUAGCCGGCCUGAGAGGGUGGACGGUCACAGUGGGACUGAGACACGGCACAGACCCAUAGGGGACGGCGGUGGGGGGAAUAUCGCACAAGGGGCGAGAGCCUGAUGCAGCGACGCCGCGUGAGGGAUGGAGGCCUUCGGGUUGUAAACCUCUUUCGCGAGUGAAGCAGGCGUGCCUCGUUUGUGGGUGGGUUGACGGUAGCUUGAUAAGAAGCGCCGGCUAACUACGUG